AAUGGGGGAAACCCUGAUCCAGCCAUGCCGCGUGAGUGAUGAAGGCCUUCGGGUUGUAAAGCUCUUUUAGCGGGGAAGAUAAUGACGGUACCCGCAGAAUAAGCCCCGGCUAACUUCGUGCCAGCAGCCGCGGUAAGACGAAGGGGGCUAGCGUUGUUCGGAAUUACUGGGCGUAAAGGGCGCGCAGGCGGCUCGACAAGUCAGGCGUUAAAGACCCAGGCUCAACCUGGGGAAUGCGCUUGAUACUGUUGGGCUUGAGAUCGGAAGAGGAGAGUGGAAUUCCCAGUGUAGAGGUGAAAUUCGUAGAUAUUGGGAAGAACACCAGUGGCGAAGGCGGCUCUCUGGUCCGAUUCUGACGCUGAGGCGCGAAAGCGUGGGGAGCAAA
rnacentral:rRNA from 1 species